AGCCUUAAGGAAUAUAUUUAAGGUUUGAUCUGCUCGAUGUUUUUAAUAAAUGGCCGCGGUACCCUGACCGUGCUAAGGUAGCGUAAUCAGUUGGCUUUUAAAUGGAGUCAGGUAUGAAUGGGAGAACCGGGCUCGGCUGUCUACAAACUACUAAAUUGAAUUUACUGUUUAAGUGAAAAAGCUUAAAAAUAGAAAAGGGACGAGAAGACCCUUAGAAUUUUUUCUAAAGUGAGUGUUACUUAUAAUGAUUUUGUUGGGGCGACAGAGAAAUAGUUAAAACUUUCUUUUUUGCAUGCCGGCUAUAUCAAGAAGGAAUAAAUUACCUGAGGGAUAACAGCAUAAUUUUACAGUUAAGUUUGUGACCUCGAUGUUGGACUAGGAAACUAACAAGCUAGCCGUUUGUUGUGUGGGUUCUGUUCGAACUAUAAUUCCU
rnacentral:rRNA from 1 species